rnacentral:rRNA from 1 species
CCGACAAGCGGUGGAUGAUGUGGUUUAAUUCGAUGCAACGACGAAAACCUUACCACCUUGACAUGUACGGAACCUUAGAGAUAGAGGGGUGCUCGAAAGAGAGCCGUAACACAGGUGCUGCAUGGCUGUCGUCAGCUCGUGUCGUGAGAUGUUGGGUUAAGUCCCGCAACGAGCGCAACCCUUGUCAUUAGUUGCUACAUUCAGUUGGGCACUCUAAUGAGACUGCCGGUGACAAGCCGGAGGAAGGUGGGGAUGACGUCAAGUCAGCAUGGCCUUUAUGUCCUGGGCUACACACACGCUACAAUGGCCAACACAAUAGGUUGCUAAGCCGCGAGGUGGAGCCAAUCCUCAAAGUUGGUCUCAGUUCAGAUUGCAGGCUGCAACCCGCCUGCAUGAAGAUGGAGUUGCUAGUAACCGCAGGUCAGCUAUACUGCGGUGAAUACGUUCCCGGGGCUU